GACCCGGUGGAGUGAUUUGAGACGAUUGCAACCACCUUAAAAAAAAGUGCUAAAAGUCCAGGA
rfam:Leptospirillum ferrodiazotrophum TBAL3_6948_5, whole genome shotgun sequence.